UACGUAGGGGGCAAGCGUUGUCCGGAAUCAUUGGGCGUAAAGCGCGUGUAGGCGGCCAGGUAAGUCCGUUCUGAAAGCCCGGGGCUCAACCCCGGGAGGCGGAUGGAUACUGCUUGGCUCGAGUCCGGAAGAGGCGAGUGGAAUUCCCGGUGUAGCGGUGAAAUGCGCAGAUAUCAGGAGGAACACCGGUGGCGAAGGCGGGUCUCUGGGCCGAUAUUGACGCUGAGGAGCGAAAGCGUGGGGAGCGAACAGG
rnacentral:rRNA from 1 species